CUAUACAUGCAAGUCGAACGGUGUCUUCGCGAAUAGUGGCGCACGGGUGCGUAACACGUAUGCAACCUACCUUACAUUGGGGGAUAGCCUUUCGAAAGGGAGAUUAAUACCGCAUAAGACAGUAACUAGGCAUCUAGUAGCUGUUAAAGAUUUAUCGAUGUAAGCUGGGCAUGCGACCAAUUAGCUAGUUGGUGAGGUAAUGGCUCACCAAGGCUAUGAUUGGUAGGGGAACUGAGAGGUCAAUCCCCCACACUGGCACUGAGAUACGGGCCAGACUCCUACGGGAGGCAGCAGUAGGGAAUAUUGGGCAAUGGACGCAAGUCUGACCCAGCCAUGCCGCGUGCAGGAUGAAGGCGUUAUGCGUUGUAAACUGCUUUUAUACAGGAAGAAACGACUCUUGCGAGAGGCAUUGACGGUACUGUAUGAAUAAGCACCGGCUAACUCCGUGCCAGCAGCCGCGGUAAUACGGAGGGUGCAAGCGUUGUCCGGAUUUAUUGGGUUUAAAGGGUGCGCAGGUGGUUUAUUAAGUCAGUGGUGAAAGACGGUCGCUCAACGAUUGCAGUGCCAUUGAAACUGGUAGACUUGAGUAAAGUAGAGGUGGGCGGAAUUGAUAGUGUAGCGGUGAAAUGCAUAGAUAUUAUCAAGAACUCCAAUUGCGUAGGCAGCUCACUUGGCUUUUACUGACACUCAUGCACGAAAGUGUGGGUAUCAAACAGGAUUAGAUACCCUGGUAGUCCACACUGUAAACGAUGAUAACUAGGUGUCGGCCGAAUCUGGUCGGUGCCACAGCG
rnacentral:rRNA from 1 species